GCAAGUCGAACGGAGUAGCAAUACUCAGUGGCAGACGGGUGAGUAACAUGUGGGAAUCUUCCCUUUGGUGAGGAAUAACACGAGGAAACUUGUGCUAAUACCUCAUAAGUCUUUACGGAGAAAGCUUUAUGCGCCAAUGGAUGAGCCCGCAUUUGAUUAGUUUGUUGGUAGGGUAAUGGCCUACCAAGACUGUGAUCAAUAGCUGAUCUGAGAGGAUGAUCAGCCACAUUGGGACUGAGACACGGCCCAAACUCCUACGGGAGGCAGCAGUAGGGAAUAUUGCACAAUGGAGGAAACUCUGAUGCAGCGAUGCCGCGUGAGUGAAGAAGGCCUUUGGGUUGUAAAGCUCUUUCGUCGGGGAAGAAAAUGACUGUACCCGAAUAAGAAGGUCCGGCUAACUUCGUGCCAGCAGCCGCGGUAAUACGAAGGGACCUAGCGUAGUUCGGAAUUACUGGGCUUAAAGAGUUCGUAGGUGGUUAAAAUAGUUGGUGGUGAAAUCCCAGUGCUUAACUCUGGAACUGCCAUCGAAACUUUUUAGCUAGAGUUUGAUAGAGGAAAGCAGAAUUUCUAGUGUAGAGGUGAAAUUCGUAGAUAUUAGAAAGAAUACCAAUUGCGAAGGCAGCUUUCUGGAUCAUUACUGACACUGAGGAACGAAAGCAUGGGUAGCGAAGAGGAUUAGAUACCCUCGUAGUCCAUGCCGUAAACGAUGUGUGUUAGACGUUGGAAAUUUAUUUUCAGUGUCGCAGCGAAAGCAUUAAACACACCGCCUGGGGAGUACGACCGCAAGGUUAAAACUCAAAUGAAUUGACGGGGACCCGCACAAGUAGUGGAGCAUGUGGUUUAAUUCGAAGAUACGCGCAGAACCUUACCAACACUUGACAUGUUCGUCGCGACUUUAAGAGAUUAAA
rnacentral:rRNA from 1 species